rnacentral:rRNA from 1 species
UACGUAGGGUGCGAGCGUUAAUCGGAAUUACUGGGCGUAAAGUGUGCGCAGGCGGCCGAGCAAGUCGAGUGUGAAAGCCCCGAGCUUAACUUGGGAACUGCGCUCGAAACUACUUGGCUAGAGUGUGGCAGAGGGAGGUGGAAUUCCACGUGUAGCGGUGAAAUGCGUAGAUAUCGGGAGGAACACCAGUGGCGAAGGCGGCUUCCUGGCGUGUUCUUGACGCUGAGGCGCGAAAGCUAGGGGAGCAAACGGG